rnacentral:lncRNA from 1 species
UAAACAGUGGAAGACAGGCCAGUUCAUGUGGUUAAUAGAUGGCAGUAGGGGUAAACAGUGGAAGACAGGCCAGUUCAUGUGGUUAAUAGAUGGUAGUGAGGGGUAAACAGUGGAAGACAGGCCAGUUCAUGUGGUUAAUAGAUGGCAGUAGGGGUAAACAGUGGAAGACAGGCCAGUUCAUGUGGUUAAUAGAUGGUAGUAGUGGUAAACAGUGGAAGACAGGCCAGUUCAUGUGGUUAAUAGAUGGUAGUAGGGGUAAACAGUGGAAGGCAGGACAGUUCAUGUGGUUAAUAGAUGGUAGUAGUGGUAAACAGUGGAAGGUGGACCAGUUCAUGUGGUUAAUAGAUGGUAGUAGGG